UCUCGUUGCCAGGGUCCAAGUAUAAAAGGCUUUUUUUGCUAUCUGGGUGGCCCUGGAACAGCUGGUUAUCAGUGACCACCGCUUUUACUGCUCCCAGAAUUGAGAUGCCACAACCAGAUGCCGGUUGGACGCGGUUGCGCAGCACCUCAAUUCCUGCUGCCUGCCCUUGGAAGAUGUGGUUCCCACUAAAAGGAUGAACAUAAAGAAAGGAACUAGUGAAGAAAGACCACUGUAUAAUAGAGAACGUGUUAAAUGCUACAGCGUAGAAGAAGUGGUCCAGCAUGUAUCUCUCCUGGACAGUAGAGAUCAUCAGCUGAUUAAAAAGAUGUGAUUUUUUAAAAUUGAACAAUUCUUUGAAACAUGCACAAAUAAUUAUUUCUUUGUAGGAUUGGGCAUGGGUAACCGAGGGCAGUCCUCGACACCAGUCUGGAAUAUAAAAGGUACCUUGUCCAUUCACUGCUAAAAUGCCCUGCCCCUUGUAAAGGUAAUGAACCCCAGCCUCCUCACUCUUCCAUCUCCAUGAGUGACUAUAAUGCUGAUGAGUGCUUUUGUACAUUUCUGGUCUUUAUGCGCAAUGGUAAUUAUUCUGUGCAACGUGAGAAGUAAGCAAAAAAUGAAAUGCAAUAUGGGAUUGCACCUACCAGACCACAGGGUUCCCACUGAAGAGGAUAUACACGCCUGCUUCCUUGUUGUUAUAGAUCCGGUUGCUCCGAAGUGAGCCCUUUCCAUUGCCAAGCACAACAACCCCAGAGCGCAAGCCACUGUGUAUUCUGUUACACUAAGGGAUUGAGAGAGAGGAGGGAGCAGCACGGUGUCAAACAAAUCAGACAUAAUUCAGAAACUAACACUAACUUGAAACUACAAGUUGGAAUACCUUCAGAAAUUACAUGUGAAUGAUGACAGGAUUUAGUGUACAACUGUAUGGGAGAAGGAAGGUCAAACGGCCAUUUUGAAAUUAUUGUUUACUUUUGUUACACAAUGCCCAUUGUGAAUUUUGUGUUCAUCACACAUGACAAAUACCCCAUACACAGAACAAGUACUACAAGCAAACCAACUUGCUCUAAAAACUAAUUACGGUACAACUAACUGAAAUUUGAAAGGUCAAAAUGAAAAUAAAAACCAAGUGUACUGAAAAAUCCCAGUCUACAGUUUUAGAACUCAUCUUCAUGGUACUAUUGACAUAAUUACUGUUCAUGAUCUCAUCUAAAAAGGUCUUCUUUUCCUGUAUUUGGGAAUUCCCAAAUAACCGACAAAUUUUGUUCUUUGAGUUUGAUGAUUAUAGGUCAUUCAGCACUCCUACACGUAUGAAUGCAACAUUGUGUUAACACUGCAGGCAUAUUGAUUGUAGACCAUCAAAUCUGUGUGACAGUUACCACAAUGAUUGGGUUGGCUCCUUUCCUGAUGUCCAACCCUGCUUCCCCAUUUGAGUGGAUGUCAUUUUCAGCGAUGAGGCCCUGAGCCGACAGCCGCAGGAAAACGCCUGAUUCUCUGCACUCACAUACUUCGUUUCGCAGCAUCACUAUCUAUAAGAGGUUGACAAAAGAGCUCGGUUGAUUGCGUUCUGGGCUACAUCUUUAAAUGACCAUCAAUUAUUCACUAAAUAGGAAUGUGAACAAGAAAAAGAUACAGGGGAACCCCUCAAUUUACACGGCUUGCAUUAAACUUCAAACUUGAUUUUCUUUGGGGUUUUGCCUCAAACACUUGUAUUAAAAAAAGGCCAGAAUACAGUAGUUUUAUAAUAGUCAGGUGUUUUUCUUUUAGUUUCAUGCAUCAAUCAGAUAUACUAUGUGAGGCCAUCAGCGUUUAACAGAUUAAGCGUUGCAGUUUUGGUAAACAUUCCCUUGCCCAUGCUCGCCAACUGACACUGGAGCAGCUCAGCAAAUUUCAAGAGGGAUUGAGCAAUUAUUUGCCAAGAUCAGCAAUGAUAUUUGGCAUUUUAAUACAUCUCGACAUUGUUCUCAGAUUUCUUUGCCUUCAUUAUCAGGGGCUGGUAUCAGCAGCCUCCAUAAGAGCCAAUAACUGGUAUCGUUACUCGCCCAUUCCGAGAAAAAAAAAAUCAAUCUCCCUGUAUUCUAAUCUAUUUUUAUAUGGAGAUAUUUUUAAAAAAGGACCUCAUUAUCUGAAGAAAAAAAAAACAACAAACAAACAAA